GUUUUUAAAUUGUUGAACACACCAACUAUUUCAUAUUACCCCACAGGUAGUCUUCAGUAUAGGAACUGGAGUAUUAGAAGUUAACUUCAUAAGAUGGUUAUUUAGAACAGAACAUUUUGUAAUAUAAGCAAUAUUAAUAUAUUAUGAGAGAAGUUUGGGUUCUUAUGAGCACCCGCAAAGACUGCUUGACACUAAUUCUGUGUUUAGGCAUCUUAAGUGCUAUUUGGUGUUUAACAGAGAUUAUUUCUUAGGCCUGAUUCUUCGCACAUCUGCCUGGUGGAGGUGGAUGAUUUAGAAGCAGAGUACGGUUCCAGUGCCUUGUAGAAAAUCAAUACGUUGUGUACCUUCUGGGAACCACCUCUUUACAGCUACUUGAUGCUUGUUUGUGACUGAGCUAUCUGUAAGUACUGAAAUAAUAAUAAUAAUUACCAGUUUCAAUGGGUAAGGACUUGGGUUCUAGUUCUUUGAACUAACAUGUAAGUUGAAGAUUUUUUACUAAGGUAUUUGACUAUGGUGAUUCAGAUAUACUAAUAAGACAUGAUUUUUUAGAGCCAUCCAAAAUGAGAGACUGUAUUUAGUUCCUCAUAUACAAAAUUUAAUCUUUUGAUACCAACGAGGUGACUUUCUAGAAAUAUGAAACUGUUGUUGGUUUUGUAAACUCAUCUAUCAAAUUCUUCUAUUUUAAAUGCAUUAGGGAUGCACAGUGUUUUGUCUGUUUUUGAUAUCUGAUUAAAUGUUAAAAAGUCAGAUAUUUUAGAUAGUAUAUGUAAACAUUUUAGGAAGAAAAACAUCUUCCUAGUUUAUGACUUAUUUUUGCAUAUUAUAUUAAGCUGAUGAGCUUUCCUCACCUUGGUUUUUAGCAGUGUCUGUUAAGUGGGUGGUAGAAUUUUUUGGGCCAGUUAGUUAAGCAGGUAUUUAUUUGGAGUGGCCUUGGUUCUGUCUCGCUCCUCAGAGUACCAUUAGGAUGUUCCUAACUUGGUAAUUUAGCUGCCUUGGCUCUACCAUGUAAUACCAGGUACCAUGUAUCUCUAGGCUUUAUCUAGUGGUUGAGUAGCGGAAGUAGUGAGAGUAGCAUUAUCUGAUAGGACUUGCUGACUAUUGGAUAUAGUGUGUGAGCAACAGGAAGAAUGAGGGUGGUGUUAACAUAGAUGGUCAAGUGUUAGGUAUCUCUGUAACCAGUAUCUUAACAGUAGACUUUUAAU